UACGUAGGGGGCAAGCGUUGUCCGGAAUCAUUGGGCGUAAAGGGUGUGUAGGUGGCGCCGUAAGUCGGGUGUGAAAUUUCGGAGCUUAACUCCGAAACUGCGUUCGAUACUGCGGUGCUUGAGGACUGGAGAGGAGACUGGAAUUCAUGGUGUAGCAGUGAAAUGCGUAGAGAUCAUGAGGAAGACCAGUGGCGAAGGCGGGUCUCUGGACAGUUCCUGACACUGAGGCACGAAGGCCAGGGGAGCAAACGGG
rnacentral:rRNA from 1 species